GUCGGUGGUUCGAAUCCGCGUGACGGGGUGAGCUCCAGUUGCUAGUCCCAGCUCCUGCCAACCUAGCAGUUCGAAAACAUGCAAAUAUGAGUAGAUUAAUAGGUACCGCUUCGGUGGGCAGGUAACGGCGUUCCGUUUAGUCAUGCCAGCCACAUGACCACGGAAGUGUCUACGGACAAACGCCGGCUCUUCGGCUUUGAAACGGAGAUGAGCACCGCCCCCUAGAGUCAGACACGACUUAAUGUCAAGGGAAACCUUUACCUUUACUAAUGAAAAGGAGGAAGACCUGUUCCCAUCUUUUUCUGAAAAGCUCUUUUUCACAUCAUCCUGGAAGGGGGCAGUUUGGAGCAGAGAAGGAAAGAUGGGUAUUUGUUACUUUCUGCUUGCAGCACUUUCUCCUGAGAUAUUUCUUUCCUUCAAGGACAGGAGCAGGGUGAAGAUCUAGGUGUGCGUUCAAUGAUUCAUCUGGAAGGCUGCUGGGGGAGAGGAAUUGGCACCAAAGCGGACUCUGGAAAGAAGUUCCUUGCCCACUUCUCCCCUCUCCACUGCUUUGUGCCAACAAAAUUUUUGCUACUCCUGUUUACACAGAAAGGAGUGUUGCAGGUUCAGUUUGGACAUUUUUGACUCCUGCAUACUCCUUUCACUGUUUAGGCCAGUGUUUCUCAAACUGGGCGACUUUAAGACAUGUGGACUUCAACUCCCAGAAUUCCCCGGCCAGCCCAGCACAGCUGGCUGGGGAAUUCUGGGAGUUGAAGUCCACAUGUUUUAAAGUUGCCCAGUUUGAGAAAUGCUGGUUUAGACCAUUCCUCCAGAAUGAAUCUCCUUCAAAGGGGUUAUUUUUUUAAGGACUGCAAUAUUCUUCAAGAUGAAUUCACCAGGAAAUGUCCCAGGGGUGUCUGGUGGGUGCGUGUCUCAAAAGGCACAAGGGUGUGGCUGCAGAUUUUUGGUAUCUCCUCUCCCAUGGACAGCCCUGGACAGUCCCACCGAAGCCACUAGAUUCUUGUCCAAAAAAAUGCACUGUGAGCCGCAUGUCUUGCUAUUUUUCUCGCUAACCUCCUAACACCACUUUACUCCUAAAUUGCACUAGGUUGAUUGUGGAAAUUUUUGAAAAACCUCAAUCUUUUCUAUUCUUUUUAGCAAUACAUACAUAUAUACUAUGCACACACACACACACACACUGCAAUACACACGCAUGCACAGACAUAGAAUUUUAGGAGUAAAGUGAUGUUAAGAGUAAAGUGAUAGUGUGUGUGCGUGUGUGUGUGUAUAAAUACACACACACACACACACAUACAUACACAUAUAUAUGCCAAAUAUCACAUGCACAGGAAAGUAACAGCAAUAAUUUAUACAGAAAUGUUAUUUCUUUCCUGGAGAGAUUUAAGAACGAAGCAGCACAAACGAAACUUGGUGUCUUUCAAGGGAACAGUUUGGAAGUGACUCCAAACGUGCUCCUUUCCAAUCUGAAUAGCACAAAGCUAUCUGUAGCUACAGUUGUGGUCCAUGCGCUCUUUUUAGUCAAAAUACGCACUCGUGUCUUUGGUUUCAUUUAGUUUAGGUCUGGAGAUAAUGUGUAUUGGGAAAUGGGGCGAACAUUUUUUUUUAAAAAUGUGUGUUGUCUGGCGUAUGAAGAGCUGCUGUGUCUCACAUUCUUAAUAAAGUGACCAUUUGGCAGUGCAAA